UCAUUUUAAACAAUUAUAAUUAGAUAUCGCCGUUGUUUGUUCUCCAUACGUUUCUACUUGAAACGUGCACUUUAGUAAAGUGAGUUGUUUUGACAUAAAUCUACUAACUUUUGGAUAGGCUACACGUUUAUUUACUAUAUAUCCAUUUCCUUAUCAAGUUCACGUUUUGUACGGUAGAUUUGAAAACAAAUACACGAAGUACCGGCCUACACGUGUCUACCGCCAAGUCGUGAUUCUCUUUCUUUCUUUGCGAAGUAAACCAAACUUUUUGAGAUACAAAAGUGUGACAUUUUUGCCUAGUGACAUCCGUAUGGAAGUCGAAAUUUAUUCUAGAAUGGAGCACUACUAUAAAAGUGACAUGAAAAUUGUAACAUCUAGAAGGGGUUGGAAUUUUUUUAACAAACUUGCCCGACGAUUAUUAAGCUAUAUAUGGUACCUAUACUACUGUAUAUAUGACGAACAAGCGGGGUUUUGCUAGGAAAGUGGUUUCCCAGUUGCAAAUGAGAUCAAAAGACAGUUCUAAAAAACCAAGUAAACAAACAAAACUCGCACGAAAUCCAGCUAGAAAUGACAUUGGUCAAAACAAAAGCAAUAACAGAUAAGCCAAUACCACUUACUCUACUUGAAUUAGAUUUUAAUCAAACCAAAAACACAAACACUUUUUUGGUGUUGCAAUUGCAAUGUCACUUGAUAUAUAUAUAUAGAUUUUGUAGUAAUUUCAACAAAACGUGAGAUGACCGAGUGGGAACCACUUGACAUGGGAGCGAAUUAAGGGAGUGGUUCCUGCAUCGCGACCUUUUGGUCUAGUGUGCUCCUCGGUAUUGUCUACACUUCCAGAAUGCCUUAUCUCUAACAAACUCCAGGAUUUUGAGGGCGAACCUUCCUUACUUCCUCUCGUGUAAUUUUUUCAUUUCUUAGACGUCCCCUGGCCUUUGUGUAAACCUCACAUUGGCAAAAAUAUUGGUACGAGGAAUGAAAAGAAGCAAGAAACUAAUAAAUUCUGGUUAUUCUGGCUUAUUAGCACGGACACACAUUCACCACAGACGAUACUUGGACAACACAUUUUUUUAAACAUAAAAAUCAAAAAUAAAUGUACACAUUACAUUGGAAAAUAUAGGAUUACUAUAGCUAAUGUGACUGAUGUAUUA